rnacentral:lncRNA from 10 species
ACUUUCUAGCCGGACAAACAGCAGUCCAGGGCCAGGCACACAGCAGUCCAGGACCGGGCACAGCACUCACCCACGUCUUGCUCGAAGGGGUUGGCGGUGAACAAAGGCAUCUCGCCGGCGCCCGAGCCCUAGUCGCUGCUGUCUAGCUGACACUCAGCAACUGCUACCCGCCGGGUGACCCGCGGCCGCGGCUCCCUAGACCGCUCCGCUUCGGCCUCCGUCCCUGCACUUCCGCCACCGCACCUGCCCGGCUCUUGCCUGACAGGCCGGCUCGGAGUCCACCCUUCGAUCCCGCGCUCCUGUCCCAACUUUUCUCCCGGGGCGAGAUCCCUCCGACCAUGGGCGUCCUCCCAAGGCCUUUGUCGCUGCCCCUGUCCCAGACUUUUGUAGGGGUCAGGCGGCCGCUACGGCCACCUUUCCAGCGCUAGGACCCCGGCUAGCCACGAAGCCGGGGACCUUCGGAGCCGGAAGUAGUCCCGCCUGGAACUGGACGACCCCGGAAGCUGCAGUGCCAGCGGCGGCGCGGCAGGGGGCGCGGUUACCCGUGGUUUUUCGCGUUGGACGACGGGCUCUGAGGGCCAAGUUCUUGUCACGAAUUUAGUUUGUUUCAGAGCGGCAGGACUCGUAGCUAGAGAACGAGGACCCACGACGCGUACGCGUUACAGUCCUGUUUCCCUAGAAACGGAGCUGCCGGCGCGGAGGUGGCUUUGAGAUUCUGCGAAAGACCUGACUGCUCUUCAACAAUUAUUGUGUUGCACCCUCCCAGGCGCCCAGUCCAAACCCCGUCAGAAUAACCACCCGGGACAGCGGUGGUCGAAGUAACUACGCCUAACUUUUCGCUUUCCAUCGUGUCCCCUCCAUAAAAACACUGCUGGGCCCCCGGAAUCCAAAGGCGAAGGAGGCACACUCCCUGCCUUAGACUUGUUGAGAGUUUUAUAGGGGCAGUGCAUAACGUACAUGAUGGUGUAUGACGAUUCGGAUGGUAGUACGAGUCAUAAACUCAAAUUCCAACAGCAUCCAGCCAGGACUUUUAAAAUUCCUUGCAACGCAAGUCUACUGGUGACAAAUUCCCUCAAAUUUUGUUUGCCUGAGAAAGUCUUUCGCCCUCACUGUUGAAGGAUAAUUUCACUGGAUACAGAAUUCUAGGUGAGUGGUUUUUUUUUUUCUUUCAAUACCUUAAAUAUUUCACUUUUCUCUUCUCUUGCUUGCACAAUUUCUGAAGAGAAGUCUAAUGUAAUUCUUAUCCUUACUCCUCUGUAGGCAAAUUGUGGUUUUUUUUUCUCCUUUUUGCUUCUUUCAAGAUUUUCUGUCUUCAAUUUUCUACAGAUUGAACAUGAUUAUGGUUAGGUGCAGAUUUUUUGUUAUUUAUACUGUUUAGUGUACUCUGAGCUUCCUGGAUCUGUG